rnacentral:pre_miRNA from 1 species
UUCUCCAAUGGGAAGCACCUUCUGUGGUCUGAAAGCAAGCAGAGGGCCUCCUUUUGGAGCAUU